GGUUGGGUCGUGUUGAGCUUUCGCGCGGCGCCGCCAAAGCUUCCAAGCGUCACCACCCAGAGAAAUGUCUCGAUUGACUUGAAAUCGAUCAUGCCUGUUUAUCUCGCUACCUAUUAGUCCAGCUUAUCGUUUCUUAUAAGAAAACACGACUAGACUUUAUCGAAUAGCAAUGAUCCACUCUUUUCGGCGAGAAACGGAGUGGUCUUAUGCUUUCGGCAGCCCAACAGGCAUCUCCAAC
rnacentral:misc_RNA from 1 species